ACCCAAGUAUAUCGAGUUGUCUCUCCUUAGUCCUUCCGAUUCUUUCUCUAUAAAUACCCAACCGACGUAUGUGGAGCUGCCUCUCCUGGUGAUUCCUUCGCUCUUCUUCUUCCCUUCUUUCACUGUCCUGCGUCACAUCGUCUUUUCUUUUUCCCUCUCACAUGGCGGAGAACGGCACCAGCUCCCCGGCGGCCGCGACGGCGGCAGUGGCGGAAAAGAAGGUGGAGGACAGGAGAUCCUGGGCUGACGAGGAGGAGACCGCUCUCCCUCCACCGCCCACCGCCGCCGGCAGCAGCAGUGGAGUGGAGGCCGAGACGGCUGAACUCAAGAAGAUCGAGGAGCUCACCAUCUCGGAAGAGAAGGAAACCACCAGCCGACUCAUCGAUCCGGAUAAAUCGGAAAUAAAGGCGGUGACAUCGGGGGACACAGUUUAUGAAUCAGCUGUUAAAUUUGAGGACCUACCCCUGUCGCGUGAGCUUCUUAAGGGUUUGAAACUCGAGAUGAAUUUUAGUAAGCCCAGCAAGAUCCAGGCGGUAACCCUUCCGAUGAUCCUAACGCCGCCACACAAGGACUUGGUGGCUCAGGCCCACAAUGGAUCUGGAAAGACUACAUGUUUUGUGCUUGGGAUGCUGAGCCGAGUUGAUCCAAGUAAAAAGAUCCCACAAGCAAUCUGCAUAUGCCCUACCAGAGAGUUGGCUAUCCAGAAUCAGGCAGUUCUUUUGAAGAUGGGAAAGUAUACGGGUAUAACUUCGAUGUGCGCUAUACCAUCAGACUCGGCAAAUUAUAUCCCAAUCUCAAGACGUCCACCUGUAACUGAGCAAGUAGUUAUUGGCACUCCUGGGACCAUUAAAAAGUGGACGUCAGCAAAGAAGUUGCCCACACGGGAUGUGAAAAUCCUUGUUUUUGAUGAGGCUGACCAUAUGUUAGCUGAGGAUGGCUUUAAGGAUGAUUCUGAAAGAAUCAUGAAGGAGAUUCGAAGAAGCAAUGAUGCCUGCCAGGUGCUACUUUUCUCUGCCACCUUUAAUGAAACUGUCAAGGCUUUUGUAUCUAGGGUGGUUAGGGAUGCAAAUCAGAUCUUUGUGAAGAAAGAAGACCUCACAUUGGAAAAAGUGAAGCAGUACAAGGUCCAAUGUCCAGAUGAACUUGCAAAAAUGGAAGUGAUAAAGGACAAGAUUUUUGAAUUUGGACAAAAGGUAGGGCAGACUAUUAUAUUUGUCCGGACAAGGAAUAGUGCCACCAUGCUACACACAGAAUUAACCAAGGAGGGUUACGAGUGCACGUCAAUUCAAGGUGCACUCAAGCAGGAAGACAGAGACAAGAUUAUACAGGAAUUUAAAGUUGGACUAACCCGUGUACUUAUAACCACUGACCUUCUUGCUCGAGGUUUUGAUCAAGAACAGGUUAAUUUGGUUAUCAACUUUGCUCUUCCUGUAAAAUAUGAUACUCCCUGGGAACCUGAUUAUGAAGUUUACCUGCAUAGAGUUGGUAGAGCUGGACGUUUUGGGCGCAAGGGUGCUGUAUUCAACUUGUUAUGUACUGACACGGAUAGAUCUCUGAUGGAGAAGAUUGAGCGUCACUUUGAUCUCCACAUUCCUGAGGUUCCAAACUGGAGGAGUGAAGAGGACUUCGAGUCUGCACUUAAGGAUGCGGGUUUGCUAUAGAUGAUUUUUCUGGAUGUUAUAGACAUGAAUAUAUGAUAACACAUGGUUACCCUACAGUUUCUGUGAUUUUCUGCCAGAGUUUUUGUAAAUUUGUAACAAUCAAGUCUGGAAGAUAUGAUUAGUAUCUUGCUUCAGCUUUUCUUGCAGCAAGGGUACAGGGUUUAGGUAGCCAUUUUGGGCAAUUAAAAAGGCAAGUUAAAGCUUGUGAGACUUAGCUUUAUGUGUCCUUGAUGUGUUGUUAGGAUUGUUGCAAGUGGAUCCAUAAUUGAAUAGCCCAUCAGUUCUUAUGGUUGGAAGAGCCAUGGUUGAGAGGUUGGUUUAAGAUGUGAAUGCUGUGAGGACCCAUAUAGGUGGGACUGAAUUAGCCUGAAUGGCUACGAAACUUCAUGCAACGAGUCCCGGUGAAGGGCUUAUGAUGCAGUUAGUGAUAUGCAGCCUUGAAAAGAAGAAUGCCGGAAAGGAAGAUGGUGGGGGAGGGUUGCUGCUUGUAUGGGAAAGCUCCUGUAUAGAUUCAAGCUUCUUGCGAAAGGCCUGUACUUGAAUAAGCGCCAUGCAGAGUUUUAUAAGGCACUGUUGUCAUCAUUUAUUGUCUCAGGUCAGUAGAACACUGGCAGGUGCAAAAGUUGCCCCUAGGAUGAGAUGAAGCUAGCUCUCGCGAGGCCUGUUUUGAUGCUGAUCGGCCCCCAUCAAUACUCCCUCCUCCUACGGUGUUGAUAUGCGAUUAGACUGGCUGGUGACACCACUGGAUAUAAUGGAGCUUGUGUAUGAGGGUGACAAAGCUGAUGAACCCAAUACAGGCGACUGAUCGAUCUUCAAACAUUAAAAUGUUGAGCACGAACUCCAAUGGCAGUCUGAUACCAUUGGGUAUCAAUCUAAUUUACAGCUUGAAAAGAUUCCCAAAAGAAAAUAGAUAAAAAAGGUGGUAAAAUUGUAUUGCGAAGUCCAAACCAUGUAUUUAAUAGACAUUUGAAAUACAUAAUAUGGUUGAAAUCAA